rnacentral:rRNA from 1 species
AUACGUAGGUGACAAGCGUUAUCCGGAUUUACUGGGUGUAAAGGGCGUGUAGGCGGUUUAGCAAGUCAGAAGUGAAAUUCCCGGGCUUGACUUGGGCGCUGCUUCUGAAACUGCUUUACUUGAGUGCUGGAGUGGAUAGUGGAAUUCCUAGUGUAGCGGUAAAAUGCGCAGUUAUUAGGAGGAACACCGGUGGCGAAGGCGGCUAUCUGGACAGUAACUGACGCUGAGGCGCGAAAGCACGGGGAGCAAACAGGAUUAGAUACCCUGGUAGUCCGUGCCGUAAACGAUGAAUACUAGGUGUAGGGGGUAUCGACUCCCUCUGUGCCGCAGUUAACACAUUAAGUAUUCCACCUGGGGAGUACGGCCGCAAGGUUGAAACUCAAAUGAAUUGACGGG